GAAUAGGACCCUGUCCUCCUAUUUUCAGUUGGUUUGCCGCGAGGACCAGGGUAAUGAUUAAUAGGGAUAGUUGGGGGCAUUAAUAUUUAAUUGUCAGAGGUGAAAUUCUUGGAUUUAUGAAAGAUUAACUUCUGCGAAAGCAUCUGCCAAGGAUGUUUUCAUUAAUCAAGAACGAAAGUUAGGGGAUCGAAGACGAUCAGAUACCGUCGUAGUCUUAACCAUAAACGAUGCCGACCAGCGAUUAGGAGACGUUGAAUACAAAACACCACCAUGCGCAUUGCGGUCGUCUUUGGUGUCGCUCACAAGGCGGCACCGGGGCGGCUUAGCUCGCAUGGCACCGGUGAAUGACU
rnacentral:rRNA from 1 species